UGGAGGAAGGGUCCUUAGCUCCCUCGCAGUCAUUUAACGGUUUAAUUGAAAGUGUAAUGAUGAAAUCAUGAAUAGAAGAUAGUUGGCAUCAUUUGAAGAGAGGAACAAUAUACUUUCCGAAAUGAAGGCUAAAGUGGAAUAUGUGCAGAGUUGCCAGAAUAAAAUGACUGAGCUAAAAUCCUAGACAUGAUUAAUAAAAUCAAAAUAAAAUGCACACAACUUCUCUCUCUCACUCACUCAGAGAGAGAGAGACCCUUUUAAAAAUGGUUUAUCUAGGUAUGUUAGAGGCAAAGGAUUUUUGAAAUGUGUCUAGUAGCUUUGUGAAGGUAUUGUAGUAAGACUAUAUAGAAUAAAAGCUGUGUGUUUUGCGUGUGUGUGGGUGGGUGGGUGGGGGGGGGGGUUAUUUGCCUUGGACAAAUUAUUUUUUCCCCCAUGGUAUGCAACGUGAAUUAUAAUAUAAAACUUUUAGGAAAUAUUAUUCAUGGAACAAUAAUGAUAUUUAUUUUUCCAUGUAAUAAUUAAGUAGUUUUAAAAACACUACUUUAGUAUUACAUGGCUACAUGCAGCGCUAGAACUAUUAGCCACAAUUCCUGCUGAUCUGUCAUGGCCAACCAUCUAUCCAUCGCUCCUCACCAUUGUCCACAUACCUUAUGUUCUCCUUUGUUGGCAUCUGGCCCUUAAAUCCCACAUAAUGUCCUACGAGGUGAAAUUUUGGCGAUACUACAAUACCUGCAUCUAGCUACUAGACUAUUGAUUGCAAAAUCUUGUGGCUGUUGGCGGCUUAAAAAAAUUUCCUUUAUUCAUGUGCAUGUUCUAGUCUGAUUCUUUUGUGAAUCUAUGUGAAGGUGCCUGGACAGACUAAUCAUGGUUCAAGUAGGAAGGUUAGCACUGAUUCGUCAACAUGGUAAUGCACUAUUCUUAAAAAAACUUGGCGGUGCAUUGCAACUUGCGAUUGCACUGCGAAAAAAGCAGGCAGGAUUCAAAAAGCCAUGCAGUCAACAGAGCUCAUUGGACCGAAGUGUUGUCCUAGAGAUUAGGUCCCUUGCAGUCAUUUAACAACUUAGUUGAAAGUGUAAUGAUGAAACUUCAUUUGAAGAGAGGAACAAUAUAAUAUACUUUCCAAAAUUAAGGCUAAAGUGGAAUAUGUGCAGAUCUGCCAUAAUUGAAUGACCGAGCGAAAUAUUAGACAUGAUUAACAAAAUGCACACGACCUCUCUCUCUCUCUCACACACACACAAACACACACACACACACACACACACUAAUUUAGAAUAUUUGAAUAUUAGUUCUUGCUUACUCACAUGCAAUUUUUACAAAACCAUACACUGUAGCUAUCUUC
rnacentral:lncRNA from 1 species